AGAAUAGAUAAAGUAGAAUUUGAACUGAAAUAAUUAGUUAUUUGAAAUAACACAUAAGGUUCGCUAUCUUUUUAAGAUUCCUAGUAAUCCAAUAAGGAAUAAAAAAAUAUGACGAUGUUUGGCUAAACGCAUUAAGUAAUCUAGUUGAUAAUAAUAAAUUUACUUGGGAAUGAGAUGCAUCCCAAAGUACUAAUUUCAUUCAUUUGAGGGAGGGCGGGUGUCUUUAUGUUAAUGGAUUGGAAUAAUUAUAAUAUGUCGAACAUCUUUCUUUCUUCACACCAGCCGGUUAGUUGGUAUUAUUUUUUUGGGAUAAUUGCCUAUAUACCCCUCAUAUGUUUGGAAAUAUUCGAUUUAUCCCUACUUUUAUUUUUUUUCUAAAAUACCCCUCAUCUGUUCCAUCGUUAUUGCAAAAUACCCCCGCAGUUAUUUCCUGUUAAGUUAACCUGGGUUAAACGUGAGUUAAAUAUCUACCACAGUUAAAAAAAAUUAAAAUGCCAAUUUUGCCCUUAACUUAAGGGCAAAUAAAAAAGGUUGGUGACAGUAGAGGGGUAUAUUGAAAAAGACCAAAAGUCAAAAUAAAUUUUAUACCCUUGACUUUAAGGGCAAAUGAGAAAGAAAGUAAUGGUGGAAGGGUAUAUUUUAAAGGGUAAAAUAGUAAUUUUAUAGAGAUAACAAGUUACUUAACAGAUUUUAACUUUAGGGGUAUAUUAGAAAUAGGUUGGAACGUAGGAGGGUAUUUUCAAUAUUAGCCUUCUGAGAGGGGUAAAUCGAAAAGUCGGAAACUUUUUAGAAGUAUAUAAGCAAUUGCCCCUAUUUUUUUUUACACUCUAACAUCAUCUCUCUUUAAACUUAUCUUUUUAUCUCUAAACUUCAACUUUUUUUCUCUUUCUAAACUAAGACAUUUCUCUCCCUCUCUUUCUAAAAUCUCAACCCUCUCAUUUUCUCUAAUCUCGACUCAAAUUUUUUUUCUAUUUUUUUAAUUAUGCUCUCUCUUUCUAAUCUAUAUUCUCUUUUUUUUUUCUAAAAAAAAUAUUAAAACUUUUUAUAGUAUUAUUUAAAAUUAAUUUUAAAAAUAAAUAAAUUAAUUGUAUAUUCUUCAUAAUUUUAAAUAACAUAACUAAGUAAUAUGACCGUACGAACCAAACACCGAAAUACUAUAUUCUUCGUAAUAGAAUGAAUAUGAAUAAGAUUCUCGGAUAUCUUCUACUCCUAAUAACCUUUCAUAGUGCGAACCAAGCGCACCCACAAUAUAAUCAUCAUAAGUCACAUUUCUGAUCCACUAACAGGCGGAAAAA
rnacentral:lncRNA from 1 species